UUGAAUUUUCGCCGAACAGAGUCUGAUAAGGCUGUGUUUGGGGGUGAAUUCUUGGAAAGAAAAAUCAGGCAGCGGCCAGACAACCGUAGGGAUGAGGCUUCCACAGACGACAGAUUUCUUCAUUUUGUUCGUCUACUAAUCCCAUCUCACAUUA